AUUGAACGCUGGCGGCAGGCCUAACACAUGCAAGUCGAGCGGAUGAAGGGAGCUUGCUCCUGGAUUCAGCGGCGGACGGGUGAGUAAUGCCUAGGAAUCUGCCUGGUAGUGGGGGAUAACGUCCGGAAACGGGCGCUAAUACCGCAUACGUCCUGAGGGAGAAAGUGGGGGAUCUUCGGACCUCACGCUAUCAGAUGAGCCUAGGUCGGAUUAGCUAGUUGGUGGGGUAAAGGCCUACCAAGGCGACGAUCCGUAACUGGUCUGAGAGGAUGAUCAGUCACACCGGGACUGAGACACGGUCCAGACUCCUACGGGAGGCAGCAGUGGGGAAUAUUGGACAAUGGGCGAAAGCCUGAUCCAGCCAUGCCGCGUGUGUGAAGAAGGUCUUCGGAUUGUAAAGCACUUUAAGUUGGGAGGAAGGGCAGUAAGUUAAUACCUUGCUGUUUUGACGUUACCAACAGAAUAAGCACCGGCUAACUUCGUG
rnacentral:rRNA from 1 species